UACAAGUACAUGGUCUCUGGU
rnacentral:siRNA from 1 species